CACCGCGGUUAUACGGGAGGCCCAAGUUGUUAGAAGUCGGCGUAAAGGGUGGUUAAGAAUAAACUAAGAACUAAAGCCGAACGCCUUCCGGGCUGUUAUACGCAUCCGAAGGUAAGAAGUUCAAUUACGAAAGUAGCUUUAUAUUUUCUGAACCCACGAAAGCUGAGACACAAACUGGGAUUAGAUACCCCACUAUGCUUAGCCAUAAACAUUGACAGUCUACUACAUUUUCUGUCCGCCCGGGAACUACGAGCAUUAGCUUAAAACCCAAAGGACUUGGCGGUGCUUUAGACCCACCUAGAGGAGCCUGUUCUAGAACCGAUAAUCCCCGUUCAACCUCACCCUUCCUUGCUCAUUCCGCCUAUAUACCACCGUCGUCAGCUUACCCUGUGAAGGACGAAAAGUAAGCAAAACUGGCACCGCCCAGUACGUCAGGUCGAGGUGUAGCGAAUGGAAGGGGAAGAAAUGGGCUACAUUCCCUCAAGCAGCAGGGAACUACGAAUGAUGCACUGAAAACGUGCACCUGAAGGAGGAUUUAGCAGUAAGCGGAAAAUAGAGUGUUCCACUGAAGCCGGCUCUUAAGCGCGCACACACCGCCCGUCACUCUCCCCGAAACUUUACCUUCACAUUAACUAAAAUGCCAAAAUCAUAGAGGGGAGGCAAGUCGUAACAUGGUAAGUG
rnacentral:rRNA from 1 species